UGAGGAAUAUUGGUCAAUGGGGCGGAAGCCUGAACCAGCCAUGCCGCGUGAAGGAAUAAGGCCCUAUGGGUCGUAAACUUCUUUUGGCGGGGAGCAAUAAGGUCUACGUGUAGACCGAUGAGAGUACUCGUUGAAUAAGCAUCGGCUAACUCCGUGCCAGCAGCCGCGGUAAUACGGAGGAUGCGAGCGUUAUCCGGAUUUAUUGGGUUUAAAGGGUGCGUAGGCGGAUGGGUAAGUCAGCGGUGAAAUGUCCCGGCUCAACCGGGGAACUGCCAUUGAUACUGCCUGUCUUGAAUGCGGAUGCCGUGGGAGGAAUGUGUAGUGUAGCGGUGAAAUGCAUAGAUAUUACACAGAACACCGAUUGCGAAGGCAUCUCACGAAUCCGUUAUUGACGCUGAGGCACGAAAGCGUGGGGAUCAAACAGGAUUAGAUACCCUGGUAGU
rnacentral:rRNA from 1 species